rnacentral:snRNA from 1 species
AGCUUUGCGCAGUGGCAGUAUCGUAGCCAAUGAGGUUUAUCCGAGGCGCGAUUAUUGCUAAUUGAAAGAAACCUGUACGUCUUCAGGAUUAUUAUAUCGUGCUGUUUAUUGGCAGUAGGUACAAUACAGGUUUUUGAUGAGUUCCCAGGAAG